rnacentral:rRNA from 1 species
CACACCGCCCGUCACAUCACGAAAAGUGGGCUGUACUAGAAGCAGGUGGGCCAACCGCAAGGGGGGCAGCCUUCCAAGGUAUAACUCAUGAUUGGGGGUG